rnacentral:sRNA from 1 species
UUCUAGCCCUGAUUGAAGUGGCAUCCUUUUUAUGCUGAACUCGAUUCAGUAUCUGUAAUAGGAAAUAAAAAUACAUUUAAAUAUAGACAGAUGCUGAAAUAAAUUCAGCAUAAAAAGAUAAAACGUAAAGCAGGAAAAAGC